UAGAUCGUUGUUAAUUGUUUAAAACAUUAUCAGGAUAUUUGGACAUAAUGUGCUAGAGGUGUCUCAUCUAACCCCACUCUACUAUAGGGAUAUAACAUUGAUUACUAUAGGGAUAUAACAAAAGAAGGACGACAGAAAAACUAUGAAAUAUACAACAAUUUUUCACAAGAUAAAAUAAGAAACGUCAAAUCACACGUUUAUUUAUCAUAGCUCAGGAUUUGUUUUAAUACCUUACUGAUAUCUCACAAAACCUUUGUAGCAAAAAAUUGCCAAUUUUAUAUAAAUAGUAUGAAUCUGGUUUGCAUUUAUACUUGAAGGUUAGUUAAAAAUAUUAGACAAAAUAAUUACAUUUAUUUGAAAUAAGGACAAACCUUAGAAAUAGGGGUCAGUAUGGUAGCGUUGAAUAUAUACAAUGUUAAAGCUAAAUUCGCGUUUGAACGAUAAACUAGAACCGCGAAUCAUUGUGAACUUAGUUUGUUACGUCACAUUUAGCCCGCCUUUUAAACCGUGAUGCUGAUUGGUCAGGUUAAUUGCUCAUGCGACCGACGUCUCGCAUCAGCUGAUUACUUCGCGCAUAAAACGCCUCUUAUGCAAAGCGAGUUAUAACCACGUUUCAGUUUAGAUGAAGUUGGUUUCACAUGAGGUUAGUAGUUGGAAGGUUUAAAGAAGUUUUAUUGCAAAGACUUUGGUUAAGUACUAUUUCACUACAUUAUGUUAUACAGUAUUAUUUUGGCCCACAUUUUAUUCAAUACUAUUUUGCUACAAGUUCUGUGCCUUGUUUUUGUUACUUUAUUAUAGUUCAGGUUUAAAUUACUCUUUAUCACAUUCUAUUUCCGGUAUCGCGACCUUUCUUUCUUACGUCAAUCGCGAUGUCACAUCACGUAUUAUCUCGGUUCACAAUCGCUGCGUUCUGUUACGUCACAAAUCCACACAAGUUUGCUUAUUUCGUUCGCGUCGGUAUUACGUCAAUGAUUUCGUUACGUCAUAGCUGACACACAACAAGUAGCUGUUGUACGCGUACGUUUCGCGCUUUUGUCAUUGGGCCCCAUGCGCGUUUUACGUCGACGCAGGGCACAUGACUUGUAUAAUCUAAGUAUAUUUGCGCUGUGGACGCGUAACAAAAGAUCAAAGAAUUGGUAAAGUAUAAAUUACAAUUGGCAAUAUUACGUACAUGACCUAUUUUUUAGAAACAUCUUUGAUGUGACGUCACGAAGCGGUGAUGAUGCAACAAAAACCCACUUCAACGUGGUAUGUGACGUCACACAGGAUCAAUCGGACCACGGCGCGAAAAUGAAAUAAAGCUAUCCUACCUUUGCACACGAAGGACAAAGACGAAGACGCCAAUAAAGGAUACACGGUUUGACAUUUUUAGUCAGUCACUACUUAAGUGCAUUUUGCACAUCACUGAAAUAUAUACAAUGAAACCAUGGCGAACAUCUUGCUGGAUCAGAUUUUGUUGUCGUACACUCUAUAUGGUGUGUUUCUUCUACAAAGAUCAAAAUCUGUUAGUGCUGAUUUUGUAUAUUUUCCCGAUCAUUUGGUGAGUACGCUCUAUGUUAGUACACAAACACUCGGGUAAUAUUAACACACAGUAUAAUGCGCAUAAAUUUGAUAGUAAUCCGUUUAAUAAUCUGUAACGUAAACUUCUCCACGUGACUAACUUUAUAACAAAACGUCAUGUAGCGUGAUUGGGAAGAUGGCCACGUCACAAUUACGCUGCUGCGUCGAUACAGUGGAUCAGAGUAUUGCCCUGCUGACCCUGCGUUCGUUGUGGUUACGUCAGUUUCUAUUGAGCUACGUCACGGUCAAGUUAUUGUGUGGACGUCGUCGCCAGUGAUGCUACGCUUAAUUUUUUAGGUUACUGCCGGCACAGUGAUGCUACGCUCGGUUUUAUGUCACUGUCAAUGCGGCUCGUAAUCACCUAACGCAAGAACAAGAGUAUCGCGGUAUACCAAUAUGGCGAGUUACCUUUUAAUUAGGAAAUGCAAUAGCUGUUUUUGG